UACGUAGGGUCCAAGCGUUAUCCGGAAUCACUGGGCGUAAAGCGUGCGUAGGUGGUUCGUUAAGUCUGUCGUGAAAGCCCCGGGCUCAACCUGGGAAUGGCGAUGGAUACUGGCGGGCUAGAGUGCGGUAGAGGAGAGUGGAAUUCCCGGUGUAGCAGUGAAAUGCGUAGAGAUCGGGAGGAACAUCAGUUGCGAAGGCGGCUCUCUGGACCAGCACUGACACUGAGGCACGAAAGCGUGGGGAGCAAACAGG
rnacentral:rRNA from 1 species